GCCCUUCUUCUGCAGAAAGGGAGGAUUCUUGACAAGUUGAGCAAAGCAUCUUCAGAAGAAUUUUGGACAGAUUCCUGACUGUCAAGAUAACAUCAGGAAAGCUCUGGUGUCCAGGUCGCAGUCAGGCUGUUGCAGAGUGUCUGUUGGGAAGACCUGGAUAUGCAACUGGGCAGCCUGUUACAGACAAAGCUCUGACUGAAACAGGUCAGUAAUAUAUUUUAUACGUAUGUAGGUAAUAUAUCUAUUGCUCUAUAGUGCUUAGAGAGGUGCAUCUUUAUGUUAAAGUUUAACUUAAAAGCAGACAAAAAAAGACAA
rnacentral:lncRNA from 1 species